AUGACGGGCAAGGAUUUUUGCGAGUACGUAAAUAAGUACGCAAAGGUGGGACAGGAGGAGGAGGAAGGAAUCCAUAUUAUACCACGCAACCCUGAUCAAUCAAAGCACUUGGAAACUGCUAAGAUGAAAAUUUUCCUAAAAGUUAUUGAUUUUGUUAACUUGAGGUCUGAAAAAUAUGUUGGGAGCAGCCGUAUCCCUACCAUGAAGUUUGGCACAGCGGAAGAAGAUGCAUACCGUAGGGACCUAACAAUGAAUAGUUUAUUCUUCAACAUCAACAAUAACUCUGUGGAAGAUUUUACUCUAAGAGGUAUUGAUGACCUCAAAAAGGGCCUUAUUGCCACUCCUUUACCUGCCAAAGGUACCUUCUUGGAUGACCCACUUAGAGUUCUUCGAGCAAUUCGAUUUGCUGCAAGAUUCAACUUUACAUUAUCUAAUGAGUUGAAGGAAGCUGCUUCGGAUGAAAAUGUGAAAUUGGGACUUGGUUGCAAGAUUAGCAGAGAACGUAUUGGCAAGGAGAUUAAUCUUAUGAUGUCAGGCAAACACCCAGUUGAAGCAAUGUCUCUUAUCCGUGAUUUGGGGCUAUUUGACGUUAUAUUUGCUUUCCCUAAAACAUCCGAUUCUCCAGGUUUUGACAACUGUGAUCGGUGUUGCGUUUCACACAUUGAAGCAGCUUGGAACCUUGCAAUUUUUAUUUGCAAUGAUUUAUCAUAG
rnacentral:rRNA from 1 species